GAGUGCCUACGGGGGGCAGCAGUGAGGAAUAUUGGUCAAUGGGCGGGAGCCUGAACCAACCAAGUCGCGUGAGGGACGACGGUCCUAUGGAUUGUAAACCUCUUUUGUCGGGGAACAAAGGCGCCCACGGGUGGGCGGAUGAGUGUACCCGAAGAAAAAGCAUCGGCUAACUCCGUGCCAGCAGCCGCGGUAAUACGGAGGAUGCGAGCGUUAUCCGGAUUUAUUGGGUUUAAAGGGCGUGUAGGCGGACAGUCAAGUCAGCGGUAAAAAUGCGGCGCUCAACGCCGUACAGCCGU
rnacentral:rRNA from 1 species